GGGCGUAUAGCUCAGUGGGUACGUGGCCGCUUAAAGCCUGAUCACCUUAAUCACUCACUAACGUCCCUAAAGUAGAGCGCUCGCUUUGCAUGCGAGAGGUCUUGGGUUCGAUCCCCAAUUCGUCCA